rnacentral:rRNA from 1 species
AUGUGCGUACCCAAAAAUUAAGAAGGAAUGGUAUUCCGUGAUAUUCACUCUUUCAACCUGGCCUUGCUCGCUAAACAGACAUGGCGUCUUCUAGAUAAUCCUGAUUCCUUGUGUGCCUCUAUCCUAAGGGCUAAGUACUACCCCGAUGGUGAUUUAUUGAAUUCCAAGCUAAGGAAAUGAUCUUCUUUUACCUGGCAAAGCAUUAUGGCAGGCACAAACUCCGUGAAACAUGGUUAUAUUUGGUGAGUGGGGAAUGGACAAAACAUCAAUAUUUGGGAAUACGCUUAGAUCCCAAGUUGUGCCAUUAGGAAAGUUGUAACGCCUAAGGCGAGACAACUGUUAACUAUGGUAGGUGACCUCAUUGAUCUUGUUUCCAAUAAUUGGGACGAAGAUAUGAUUAGACAAACAAUGUGGCCCAUCGAUAUACAACGGAUUCUUUCAAUUCCACUCUCGCAACAUGAUAUGACAGAUUUCAUUGCUUGGAGUUAUACGAAAAAUGGUACACCACGGUAG